AUCCAUGGCCAUCCCACCCUGAAUGUGCCUGAUCUCGUCUGAUCUCGGAAGCUAAGCAGGGUCAGGCCUGGUAAGUACUUGGAUGAGAGAAUAUGGAGGCUCAGAUCUGUUGGUA
rnacentral:rRNA from 1 species